AAGAUAAAUGCAAGAACAGUGCGUGAUAUUGUGGGAGCACCUACACGGCCUCAGCUCCUUCGGAGCAGCACUGAUACACAUUUCCCCAGCGCAUCAACUUCUUUGGCUGUCGCUACCUCUGUCCCCUGCUCAUGGCGGCGCUGCUGGACGAGUUUGCGUCCAAGCUGGUGGGCAUCCUGGCGGGCAUGGUGAAGGAGGAGGUGGAGAUGCUUCUCGGCGUGUCUCGGCGUGCCGGGGGAGAUGACCAAGCUUGAGACGACGCUCCGUGACCUGAGCUGCAUCUUGGCUGAAGCUGAGAGGAAGCGCAUCCGCGACCGCAACUCAGCUACGGAGGGUUGAGUGAAGGAGGUCAGGGAUGCCAUGUACGACACCGAUGACGUCCUUGACCUCUGCCGGCUCAUGGAGGGCGGGGGUGGUCCCUCCACACCAAUAUCUGCUCCAAGGUGGUGCUGUGAAAUCCCCAAUCCAUUCUUUUGCUUACGCAACCCUGUUGUGGCGUAUGAGAUAGGAAGAAAGAUCCAAGCAAUCAACCAACAACUAGACUUUUCGAAGAGGUGCUCCCGCUUUGAUUCAUCACACAAGCCAUCAACUCCUCCGGUGAUUCCAUCAACAAGGCUUCCAAUUUUUUGUCCGGCAAUACCGGAUCAAUUUUUAUCCAGUCCGAUGUUGUUGGUGAGAAGAUUGAGGAGGAUAAGAAGAAAAUCGUGGAUAUGCUCAUCAAGAAUGCAGAUACUUCCAUAGGAUCAAAGGGCAACAAUGAUGUGGUUGUGGCUAUUGUUAUCACAGGCACGGGUGGGAUAGGCAAAACCACUCUUGCUCAGAUGAUCUUCGGUGAUACUAGGGUGAAGGAGAGCUUUGAGGAAAGGAUCUGGUUGAGCAUUAAUCAAGAUGUCGAUGAAAUCAGUGUUCUGCAAAGUCUUCUAGCUUCUUUUGGUUCCAAACAUGAAGGUUGUGCUGGAAACAAGAACUUACUUGAGGUUACUUUGAUGGACACGAUCCGGCAAAAUGAAGUUUUUGUUGGUGAUGGAUGAUGUGUGGAGUGAAAACGUGUGGUAUGGGCUGCUUAGAGCGCCACUCAGUCAUGGUGUUUCUGGCAGUCAAGUCUUGGUGACCACAAGAAGUGCUGGAGUUGCUCUUGGAAUGAAAGCUCAACAUCUCCAUCGAGUUGACAAGCUACAACCAGAGGAUUCUUGGAUUUUGCUAAAGAACCAGUCUAUCCUGAACAUAGUUUAGAUUGCUGAUUACCUGCUGACUGUAGAGCAAAAUGUAUAUAGUGCAAGGUCCAUUGCUGCUUGCCUAGGAACUGCUUGUGGAUUCAUCCUAUCGUCUCACCCGUCCUCUGCACUCCACUGCUAACAACCCAAGGUCCGUCUUCUCCCAUCUCUUCCCUUCAUUGCAUGCAGGGACUUGGUUCAGUUAUCAUUUGAUAAAUUAAUUAGUUGUGUAUGAGAUUGUGACCUGAAUGAUUGAACUUGUACUUGAGAAAUUGAUGACAAAUAUUAUCAUCUAAAUGAAUAUAUAUUGGCCUGAUGUGAGUUUGAGAUGCCCAGCAUAAUGCUACUGCUAUCGAAACGGUGAUGAUUCUCAUGAUUGUGUGUUUGAUUGCAGAAGAUGCAAUGAUAAAGAGAUAAUACUUAGUCGGACAAAUUAAGAGAUACACAUAUUUAUAUGUUAAUUUUGAUAAAUGGCAAAUGUUUAUAUUAGCAAAAAGUUAAUAAUUAGAAUGCUUAUAUAUACCAUGUUCAUUGGCCAACCACGUUGAUAUGAAUUAUUGGUGCUGCACGCUGCACCACAACCAUCUCACCUGAUCGGCUCGCGCAUGACAUCCGCUCCACGAUGAGGCCAUAUUGCAACUGUUCAAAUGUUCAUAAACUUAAUCGAGUUCAUCUAGGCAGGUUUACGAAAGUGUGAGAAAAUUUGGGGCAAUGGUUUUGGUGGUUGAGGUGAGCAGCGUGGUUUGGCGAACUAGGGGCUUAAUUUGCUUUAGGAAUUGUGCUUUUACAUUUGGUAGAGCACUUGAGCAUCUGCAUUCUCUAAAUAACAUCACCAUACGUCACAAGGUUGGGUUCAAAUUACCAUUUUUUGCUUUCAUGCAUGUUCAGCACAUGAGGAAUGGACUUUUUUUUUGCCUUGUUUAACACUCAGGUUUGUCUUAUAGUUUUUUUGUUCCUUCAUGCUAUGGCUACUUGAAAGUACUUCUUUCUUCAUCCGUUCUAUCUCAAUCAUUCAAUAUCCUGCAAGAUCAUGACAAGGGAGCAACACUUGGCAACUACAUGGUUGAUUUGUGUGUUUUUAGUUUUGCUUCAAAUUUCAUAUACAUGUUGUCUUUAGUCAGUCUUACUGGAUCAACCUUUCUUUAUUAGCAGGUUUUAACAAGCAAAACUGAAGAUAUACGUGGUCGUUGGAUACAAAACUGGAUCAAACUCUUUUUAAAAUUAUGAACCACUGAAACAAAUUGAUUGGUUUAAGUAAACUUUCAAAUACAUCGUUAAUUUACUCUUUAACUCUUUAAUGCAAGAGACAAAUGAACCACUAAACAAAUUCGUUGGAUUAAAUAGCAUAUCAAAUGCAUCACUAACUUGCUCUUUGAUUAAUACUUGAAAAAUAUUAAAGCAGGGUAAAAUAUCACAAUGGAAGGUCAAGGCUCUCCGUGAAGAUUUGCUCUGUUGAUGGACAAUGAAGCUACCUCUUGCUGCUAUUCAAGAACAAAUCUAUGAAACUGUUAUAGUUAGUACUUCUAUGAAACAUAUUGGAUCGUCUUGGCUCAGGAUUUCAUGCUAUCUAGGUCAUUCGGGUCUAGAACUAUUUAUUUGCAUAUUGAUAUAUCUUGAUUAAUUAGUGUUUUCAAAUCAUGUGAUUGCAGAAGUUUUGUACUCCGGCAUAGAUUAGUACCGUCAUUUAAUAUGCUAUGUUUUGUACUCCUAUUAUAUGAUAUUGCACUUUUUAUUAUCUUCGAUUUACUCAUAUUUGAUUAUUUAAAUGAUAGGGCGCAUCAGGCGCCUAAUGUUCUAGUGGAGAUGAGAAGAGGAGCAGGUGCUUCGGGGGGCUUGUCUUCCUGCGCUGGAGAAGAGGACCUGGCACAUGGGGCCGCGCGGCGCGUGAGUGGGGCUAGCGGGUUAAGGUGUGAUCCAAAUAACAUGGGCGAUUGGAUUUGGUUGAAGAAGGAGAGAGAAGAUGUGAGACGAAAUCUGGACCGCAGAUUUUGAUGGUGCUGAUUUGCUUGGUACACAUUUUGUUGUAGGAGGGGAGCAUUCCAUCUCACAAAGUAAGAUUAAGUUUGGUGGAUGUAGCAAAGAUUUAACCGGUGAGUUUAUAGGAGUAGAGACUGGCUCUGCUGCCGACUCUGCCUUCUAUUGUAUAACAUCUGAAGCACUUUUUCUCUCACUCGGAGUUUGAGUUUUGUUCAUCAGAAUGAAGAAACUGCGUGUUGGCUGGCUGGCCGUACUGGGAUGCA